rnacentral:rRNA from 1 species
UACGUAGGGUGCGAGCGUUAAUCGGAAUUACUGGGCGUAAAGCGUGCGCAGGCGGUUUUGCAAGCCGGAUGUGAAAAUCCCCCGGGCUCAACCUGGGAAUGGCAUUCGGGACUGCAAGGCUGGAGUGCGGCAGAGGAGACUGGAAUUCCUGGUGUAGCAGUGAAAUGCGUAGAUAUCAGGAGGAACACCGAUGGCGAAGGCAGGUCUCUGGGCUGACACUGACGCUGAGGCGCGAAAGCUAGGGGAGCGAACGGG